CACUUCAUCAGUAUAAGGGAGAGUUUGUAGCGGAAUACAGGGUGAGAUGAGAUCUUGAUCAUCGAUUGUCAGAUGAGUGAAGGUUGGUGUUGCUUGGUCUACAGUUUUCUGCAGGAAUUUCCUUAGGCAUGGGAGGACACAACAAAUGAGAAGAGCGAGAAUAAAAAGAAAAAUUAGUAAGGCAAUACCAAUCUGGACUAAAGCUCUCUGCCAACCAGUCAUCCAACCAAACCAUUUUUCCCAGGGAUCAGUACCUCCAGAGUUUCUCUUUAACUCUUCUGAGAGUCUAUUUAAUUUAGCUAUGGCCAGAGUGACUUUACCAUUAGGACCUGUGUUUUCUGGAAUGUAAGUGCAACAAGUCAUAGUGUCGGGAAGUAUUUUACAGACCCCCCUUUUUCGGCUAAGAUCAUGUCUAAGGCCAGUCUGUUCUCGAAGGUCAUUUGGGAUGUGGCCUGUAAUUGCUCGGCCAAGCCCUGGAGGGCAUCCCUGGUGUAGUUCACGAAGCGCUGUUGGUUGUAAUAGAUAUAAUUAAUCCAAUUAAGGUUUUUGUUGGCAGUGACUAUGGUAAAAAGUGAUUCAAAACCUACAGCUACUUCAUCUCUAGC